rnacentral:lncRNA from 1 species
GAAUUUAUCUGUGUCCAUUGUUUAAUAUGCACAUAAACCAAGGUGAGCGACACAGGCUCUUGAGAGCCUCUAGUUUGGCUGAUCAAUGCAUUUGAAUGGGGAUAUAUAGUUGGAACCCCCCCUUUUUUUUGGCUGAUCAAUGCAUUUGAAUGGGGACAUAUAGUUGGAACCCUAUAUAAUCAUGAGUUUAUAACAUUUUCGAAAAAACACUGUCAAUAAAGAAAAAAACUCAUUACAGUAACAAUGCAAUGUACAAUGCUAUCUCUUUCCUUAUUUAAUUAAAUACGGCUUCUAGUUCUAUUUUUAGAUCUCUUUACUGUAUAUUUGUAUAUGUAAUCU